rnacentral:rRNA from 1 species
GGCUUGUUGAUUAUAAUUUCAAGUCUGACCUGCCCAAUGUUUAAUGUUUAAAUGGCCGCGGUAUUUUGACCGUGCAAAGGUAGCAUAAUCAUUAGUUUUUUAAUUGAAAGCUUGUAUGAAAGGUUUGAUGAGAAAAUUUCUGUCUCUGGAAAAAUUUGUUAGAAUUUUAUUUUUAAGUCAAAAAGCUUAAAUUUAUAUAGAAGACGAGAAGACCCUAUAGAGUUUUAUAUCGAGUAAAAAUUAUAUUUAAAGGAUUAUAAGAGUUUAAUUUUUGUGAGGAUAUUUUGUUGGGGUGAUAAAAAAAUUUAUUAAACUUUUUUUUUACAGAAACAUUUAUUUAUGGUUAAAUGAUCUUGAAAUUUAAAUUAUAAGAUUAAAUUACCUUAGGGAUAACAGCGUAAUCUUUUUUAGAGUUCUUAUCGAAUAAAAGGAUUGCGACCUCGAUGUUGGAUUAAAAUUAAUAGUUGGUGUAGAAGCUUUUUUAUUAGGUCUGUUCGACCUUUAAAAUUUUACAUGAUCUGAGYUUAAACCGGUGUGAG